UGGGGGAGGAGACCAAUUUCAAGGGCAAAGGUCCCGAUAGAUAAGUCAGAAAUGGAAAAAAUUGUCAUUAGAUAUUUAAAAAAUAAUUUUAUAUUUAUUAAUUCCUAACUAAUGUAAACAAUAUAAUGUUACUUGUUCAUUAUAAAUGUUUCUAUUUGCAAUCACUUGUAGAAAAAUAAAACAUCUUUUUUCAAAUCCUGAUCCUUUAAUGGCCAAAAACAAACUUACUGGUUAUUGGGAUUUCUCGUGACAGGACAACCACUGAAUAGUUGUCUAGAUCAGCCACUUAAAGCAGUAAGUAUAUCAAAACAACCAAGAAGAAGAAUGCCAAACAAAAAUAAGCAAUUAUUAAAAGUUCAGGGACCACAUACGUUGUUCCUGCCACUCUUGUGCUA
rnacentral:misc_RNA from 1 species